GUAUUAGCAGUGAUGAAGCAAAUGAAUUGUGGACUAGAGUUUCUGAUCUUGUAUUUGAAGACUAACCCUUGGCUGUCUGAGCAC